CUCUGGGUAAGUCGGGGCCUAAGGCGAGGACGAGAGUCGUAGCCGAUGGACAACAGGUGGAGAUUCCUGUACUGCGGUAUGACAGAACUGUGGGGACACGUAAGGAAAGCGGAAGCCGGGAAUGGAAAGCCCGGUGCAAGCGGGGUACCAGCCACUUUGGCAAAUCCGGGUGGCAAUGGGAAGCCGUGAUGCGGAGCGAAAUAAAGUAGCGAAGUCCGUGAGCCAUGCGUCAAGAAAAGCCGCUAUCGUUUAUACCGUACCCGUACCGUAAACCGACACAGGUGGAUGAGGAGAGAAUCCUAAGGCCGGCGGAAGAAGCAUUGUCAAGGAACUCGGCAAAAUGGCCCCGUAACUUAGGGAUAAGGGGUGCCUGGGAAACCAGGCCGCAGAGAAUAGGCUCAAGCAACUGUUUAGCAAAAACACAGGUCUAUGCGAAACCGAAAGGUGAGGUAUAUGGGCUGACGCCUGCCCGGUGCUGGAAGGUUAAGAGGAGAGGUUAGCGGUAACGCGAAGCUUUGAAUUUAAGCCCCAGUAAACGGCGGCCGUAACUAUAACGGUCCUAAGGUAGCGAAAUUCCUUGUCGGGUAAGUUCCGACCCGCACGAAAGGCGUAAUGAUUUGAGCGCUGUCUCGACAAUGCAUCCGGUGAAAUUGAAGUACCAGUGAAGAUGCUGGUUACCUGCGCCAGGACGGAAAGACCCCAUGGAGCUUUACUCCAGUCUGGUACUGGGACUCGGUAUUGCAUGUACAGGAUAGGUGGGAGGCUAGGAGAUGGUAACGCCAGUUGCCAUGGAGCCGCUGUUGGGAUACCACCCUUGCAGUAUUGGGUUUCUAACCAGCCGCCGUGACCCGGCGGUGGGACAAUGCCAGACGGGGAGUUUGACUGGGGCGGUCGCCUCCGAAAGGGUAUCGGAGGCGCCCAAAGGUUCCCUCAGAAUGGACGGAAACCAUUCGAAGAGUGCAAAGGCAGAAGGGAGCUUGACUGCGACACCGACGGGUGGAGCAGGUACGAAAGUAGGGCUUAGUGAUCCGGUGGUAUUAAGUGGGAAUGCCAUCGCUCAACGGAUAAAAGCUACCCUGGGGAUAACAGGCUUAUCACUCCCAAGAGUUCACAUCGACGGAGUGGUUUGGCACCUCGAUGUCGGCUCAUCGCAUCCUGGGGCUGUAGUAGGUCCCAAGGGUUGGGCUGUUCGCCCAUUAAAGCGGUACGCGAGCUGGGUUCAGAACGUCGUGAGACAGUUCGGUCCCUAUCCGGCGUGGGCGUAGGAUAUCUGAGAGGAGCUGUCCUUAGUACGAGAGGACCGGGAUGGACGGGCCGCUGGUGCAUCGGUUAGACUGCCAAGUCUACGGCCGAGUAGCCAAGCCCGGAAGGGAUAAACGCUGAAGGCAUCUAAGCGUGAAGCCCCCCUUAAGAUGAGAUAUCCCAUUCG
rnacentral:rRNA from 1 species